UAUGUUUGGGAAGCCACUUCUGCUGGGACACGGGGUCUCCUAGGAAUGGAGCCCUGUCCCCUCGGCUGUCUCCCUGUUGCCCUCUCCUCACCUGCCCAGAACCCUCCUUUGGCUGCUUCUGCCCUUGCUGGGCGGCUCGGCCCUCCUCCCCUCUAGCCUUUGAUACUGCUUGCUCCCUGAAUGCAGCCGUCCAUGGUCUGGCCUGCAAGUCCCUGACCCGCAGCAGGCGGGGCAAAGACGAAUCCCCGGGAGUCCUCAGGCAGGGCUCAAGACAGUUUGCGUUCGGACAAAUCUUCAUUGUGACGCAAGCCUUCUCCUCUGGAUGCUUAGAAUUCAAGGACCGUAGAAGAAGACUGUUCUACACCAGUGCAUCUACCAAUCCCUUCUCUUUCUCUGGAUUCUGUCCUCCGGGGCCCCUGAGUUUCCUGGUUCAGUCGGGCCUGUUCCUCUCCAGGCCUGCUGCACGGUUGCCAGCCCUGGGAGCUCCCUCUGCCAGCCUCCUGGGCCGAAU